AAAGGACAUACAGGAGUCCUCUAUUCCAGCCUACAUUUUCUUCGCCUUUGGAGUGAUAGGAAAUGUGCUUGCUCUUUGCACAAUUUGCAUGAACCGCCAGCAACAUCAAUGGCGCUCCUUCUACAUCUUUUUCUUGGCUCUGGCGAUGUCCGACUGUGUGAACCAAGUGUCAGUGUUCCCUUUUGAGGUGUUAAGUUAUGGAUCUCAUUUCACGCACAGAAUUUCAAAAGUCGAAUGCAAUUUCAUGUCUUUCUCUUACGCCUUUACCCAAAUUUCCUCUGGGCUCAUAAUUGCCGGAAUCACAACAGACCAGCAUAUAUCACUCAUAAUGGGCCGUCAACUGGAUACAAUGGAUGGAAAUCGCCGAAUCUACGUUUUUGCUCUCUUUGCGUUGUUUGUUGUUGCGGCAUUUGUGUCGUCUAUUCAUUUAAUCUUUGGAGAUAGUGAAAUUUUUUAUCCGAGAUCUUGGUGCUUCAUCGAAGUAUCGGGGAGAGAUUUUGGAAGCAGCGCCACUGCUUUAGUGUAUUCACUUACUGGAAUCCUAACUCUUAUUUACACGGCUUUUUUACAUCUAUACAUUAUGUGCAAGUCAAACAGGGACCCAGAGCUCCGUGGGCAUCUUGUGGACACCGACAGAAUCACGGGAUAUUACGAUAUUCACGUUAACAUUUUCUUGAUGACGUCAUUGACUUUUUAUGUUUUGUGUUGGGGACCAUUUCUGGUAAGUAUUUCGUAAUCUGAGCAUCAUUUUGUAAAUUGACGAUUUACAUCAUCUGGGACAUGAAUAGUCAGUUGGAAAUGAAAAAUUAAAUAUCAAAAUUGAGAAGUAUUAUUUUUGAUUAAAUUUUUUUACAGCAACAAUGUAUAUGUACUAACUCGGUUAGAAAAAAGAAAAAAAAAGCUUUGACCUAAUCCAUUUGUGGAUUAAUUAGAAACAGCCUUUUUUCCACAGAAAAAAAUAUUUCGUCCUAAACUGGGACAAGAAAAAAGUUGCACUUGAAUCAAAUAUACAGAUCCUUUAAAAAAAACUUUUAACUUCCGCCUUAGGUGGACAUUUUGUUACGAUCAGUCAACGUUGUCACUAGCUGCACAGGAAGACUGGAACUGUGGCUAGUCAGGCUUGUUGACUUCAAGUCCAACCUCAACCCGUGGCUCUAUGUGAUACUACGAAAGGAGAAUCUGAGGAGAAUCGUCCGGAAGUUCAGAUCUUGCCGUGCUGGAAACAUUCAGGACGGGGAAGGUGAUGGGGAGAAUGACCGACUUGUCAGUGACACACAUAUGUGAAACAAAAGUUUUAGAAAUUGGGCAAUAUAGUCGCCUGUACCCAAAACAAACCAUCAAAUCAAUCUUGGGAAGGAAAAUAAAAUUUAUUCUCUGUUGGACAACUUAUCAUCGUUUAGAAGCCGUCAUACAACCAAAAGUACAAUUAACUUUUUUUAUAGCACCAAACACCGUCCGGCAAUGCAUGAACUUUUACAACAAUAUUAUUUAGAAAGUUUAGGAAAACCCUAAAUAGGAUGCAAAGAAAAACACCAAAAAUCAUUGUAUUUGUAUGAAAUUAAACAAUUCCUAACCGCCAGGAUUAAUGCAAGAGGCCAAUUUUCUUCUAUAUCAAAUUAAUUCCUGGUUUCAUUUUUUUUUUCAUCUUUUAUCUAUGAAAUAAAAUGGCUCUUUUGUAAAAAAAACCCGCACGUUAUGGAAUUAAUGGAAUUUUAUUAUCAGUCGUUUGGACUUUAAUAUUAAACACUUAUUGGUUAAGUUUGUCUACCGCAGUUUUUGGGAGUUGGUUUUAAUCAACUCUCCUAUGGAGUUACUCUGGCAAACUGGAAGUGAAAAGUGUUUUUUGACCGGGAUAUACGAAAGACGUGAAAUACUAUGAAUACCUGAAUGACCUGAAACUGUACAUGCAUAUAAAUGAGAUAGUUUAUGUUUUGCGUUAUAUAAAAUGACUGUGUGUGUGAUCAUCAGUUUCCAUAUGAAAUCUGGUAGAAAAAUAUCAUAAAAUGACAUCCAUCUGAAUUAUUUACGAAAAAAUAUGAAAGACUUGAAAAUUUGAAUUGACCUGAAAUUUUAAUGAAUGAUACGUUUUUAUGUUCUGCGUCAAAUUAGAUGACUAUGUAUGGGAUUUUACCACACUAUACCUGUAGCUUGGAAUUCUUGGAAAAGCAAAAAAAAAAAAAUCAUAUUAGAAAAAAUGUUCAUAACAUAUCGUUUAUUUUAGCAUAAAAAUAAUCAAUAAAAUCCUGUCAGUACUUC
rnacentral:misc_RNA from 1 species